rnacentral:rRNA from 1 species
GACGAACGCUGGCGGCGUGCCUAAUACAUGCAAGUUGAGCGCUGAAGGUUGGUACUUGUACCAACUGGAUGAGCAGCGAACGGGUGAGUAACGCGUGGGGAAUCUGCCUUUGAGCGGGGGACAACAUUUGGAAACGAAUGCUAAUACCGCAUAAAAACUUUAAACACAAGUUUUAAGUUUGAAAGAUGCAAUUGCAUCACUCAAAGAUGAUCCCGCGUUGUAUUAGCUAGUUGGUGAGGUAAAGGCUCACCAAGGCGAUGAUACAUAGCCGACCUGAGAGGGUGUUCGGCCACAUUGGGACUGAGACACGGCCCAAACUCCUACGGGAGGCAGCAGUAGGGAAUCUUCGGCAAUGGACGAAAGUCUGACCGAGCAACGCCGCGUGAGUGAAGAAGGUUUUCGGAUCGUAAAACUCUGUUGGUAGAGAAGAACGUUGGUGAGAGUGGAAAGCUCAUCAAGUGACGGUAACUACCCAGAAAGGGACGGCUAACUACGUG